rnacentral:rRNA from 1 species
ACGAACGUUGGCGGCGUGCCUAAUACAUGCAAGUCGCGCGAGAAAACCGGGGCAACUCGGUGAGUACAGCGGCGGAAGGGUGCGUAACACAUGGAUAACGUACCCUCCAGUUGGGGAUAACCCACCGAAAGGUGGGCUAAUACCGAAUAAUGGCAGAAGGCGGCAUCGUUUUCUGCUUAAUGACGCAAGUCGCUGGAGGAGCGGUUCAUGGCCUAUCAGCUAGUUGGCGGGGUAACGGCCCACCAAGGCAUUGACGGGUAGCCGGACUGAGAGGUUGACCGGCCACACGGGAACUGAGACACGGUCCCGACAUCUACGGAUGGCAGCAGUAGGGAAUCUUGCGCAAUGGGCGAAAGCCUGACGCAGCGACGCCGCGUGGGGGAUGAAGGCCUUCGGGUUGUAAACCCCUUUCAUAAGGGAAAAACACUGAUCUAACCUUAGGAAGAAGCACCGGCUAACUCCGU